UGUGCGUAAUUUAAAAAAAAUAUCAGGCUGUGACCCUGACAAUAGGACACUCAUCCUCACACACCA
rnacentral:tRNA from 1 species